UACGUAGGCAGCAAGCGUUGUUCGGAGUUACUGGGCGUAAAGGGUGCGUAGGUGGCUCUAUAAGUAUGGUGUGAAAUCUCCCGGCUUAACUGGGAGGGUGCGCCGUAGACUGUGGGGCUAGAGUGUGGGAGAGGAAAGUGGAAUUCCUGGUGUAGCGGUGAAAUGCGCAGAUAUCAGGAGGAACACCGGUGGGCGAAGGCGGAUCUCUGGGCCGAUACUGACGCUGGAGGAGCGAAAGCGUGGGGAGCGAACAGG
rnacentral:rRNA from 1 species